UCCCUCAUAGCUCAGCAAAGAAUCUGCCUGCAGAGCAGGAGACCUAGGUUCGAUUCCUGGGUUGGGAA
rnacentral:tRNA from 1 species